GGCAGGAUGGCCGAGCGGUCUAAGGCGUGUAACUCAAGCGAAAGCUUGCCUGCUUUGCGGGUUUCGCAUCUGGGUAUCCAGGCGUGGGUUCAAAUCCCACUCUUGUCA